rnacentral:tRNA from 1 species
GGACGGUUAGCUCAGUGUUUUGAGCGCGGUGCUGACAACAAUGACAACAUCGAGGUCGCAGGUUCCAUUCACAACACCGAGGUCGCGGGUUCGAUUCCUGCUCGGUCCC